rnacentral:lncRNA from 1 species
AGGAGAUACUCGUGGGAAGGGCCUUGCGGAGCCCGGAGAGGCGGCAGCCGCAGCGCUCGCCUCGCGGAGCUGCCAUUAACCCGUUCUCAUUAAUUGCAGGUCGGGCAAAAGGCAGCGGUGGGCUGAUUCGGUCCAAUUUUGAUCUUUUUUUAAUUUAUUUUUUCCUUGUUUAUUUUUAUUUUUUGCAGCUUCCAUCCCAGCCUGCCCCGAGCAGCCUCGCUGCUGCGUCCCCGCGUCACCCCCUGGGUGCCACCACGGCACGGGACGGGGCCACCUGGAUGAAAGGUGCCCGAGCAAAUUUGCUCUCUGCUGUACCCACGUGCGGGGAUUUCCACAAUUCCUCGUGCCAAGAGGAGGCUGGGGCAGUGCUCUCCCACCUUUAUUUACCCCUUUACUCUGCCCAGCCCCUGCGUGGGGACGCGGGCACGGAUCGGUGUGCGCCGUCCCCGCCAGCUCCCCACCACCGCGGGUGGCGAGCUGCAUGGGACACUGCAGCCAAAAUGGGGUGGAAAGGGUGAAAAGAGCAAACACAGGCGCCAAGCCCCGUGCAUGGUGCUGGGCACCAGCCUCCACGUUCCCUCGAUGCCCAUCCUCUGGGCUGGGAUCACAUCCUCAGCCCGGAGCAUCUCCAGAAGCCGAGGCCUGGGAGCGCCGAGCCCAGCGGUUGUGAAAUUUGCCGCGAAGGAGAAGCCCUCAAACGGUUUGGGGUUGGGUUUAUCCAAAGGCCUCGCUCUGCUUUUAGCUUUUUCCAUCCUGAAGACCGUCCAAGGUCCUAUCACGAGAAAAAGAACUGGAGCCCAAGGAGCUCAAAAAUUGGAGAUUUUCAUCGUGCUCUGCCCUGCUGUUGCCUUCGACUGUUCCUCGCCGUGCCCCCUCCCUGCUGUCGCCCCAUCCCGGCCACAUUUUGGCUCUCGGAGGAGGUGAGUGCCGGGGCCCUCGUGGGCCACCCACGGUCCUCCGGGCCCACAAGGAUUUGGCUUUAUAUAGCACCUGGGAGAUGCAUGUCAGAUAACGCUGGCAGGCUUUCAAAACCUUCUCUGCAGCUUUUGUGCCAAGACCUAUAGGACGCGUUCCAGAGCAUCUCGCAGGAAUGUUUGUUAUUAUGGCAGGCCAAGAAAAAAAAGAGGGGGGAAAAGAGGCAGUGCGGGAGCACAUCGCUGUUAAUUACCAAAAAUCCUUUAAUAACCCACAUUACUAUAAAUGAUGUGUGCAUUACGGGGAGGACAAUUGAGGGCUCUGUUUUUCUUGCCCCACGUUGGGGCGUGGAACAAUGCCCCCUUGUUGCCCAGCCCGAGGUGGUGGCACUCCUGGUGAAAUUGGGGUUUCUCCAUCCCGUACCUGUGCCCGCUGUGAAAACCCCAUUGUUCGUCGCCCGGGGACAGGCAGGGGCCGUCACGCGACCUUAUCUCCACACAAAGCCCAUCAGGACAUUUCUGAGGAGGUUUUAAGGUUUCCAUAAGAAAUUGGAUUCAUUAACCCAAAGCUGUGCGGGUGCAGCCGGGGCUCCG